CCCCCCCUUGUGCUGGACCAACACCCCGACCCUGUCUUCUGACAGCAGAGGGGCUGGAAAAACAAGCCGAUAUAUGUCGGUCAAUGGCAGAAAUAAAUCUUUCACGACAGACAAAU